rnacentral:rRNA from 1 species
AAGCUGACGGAGCACGCCGCGUGAGUGAUGAAGGUUUCGGAUCGUAAACUCUGUUGUUAGGGAAGAACAAGGCCAUAGUAACUGAUGGCACCUUGACGGUACCUAACCAGAAAGCCACGGCUAACUACGUGCCAGCAGCCGCGGUAAUACGUAGGUGGCAAGCGUUGUCCGGAAUUAUUGGGCGUAAAGCGCUCGCAGGCGGUUCUUUAAGUCUGAUGUGAAAUCUUACGGCUCAACCGUAAACGUGCAUUGGAAACUGGGGAACUUGAGUGCAGAAGAGGAGAGUGGAAUUCCACGUGUAGCGGUGAAAUGCGUAGAGAUGUGGAGGAACACCAGUGGCGAAGGCGACUCUCUGGUCUGUAACUGACGCUGAGGAGCGAAAGCGUGGGGAGCGAACAGGAUUAGAUACCCUGGUAGUCCACGCCGUAAACGAUGAGUGCUA